UUUGUUGCAGAAGUUUUGACUGAAAACUUGUUUAUGGCAAACUGGCUUGUUGCAAACCUACUGACAAACUUGUGAUGGUGAACAUCCUAAAUCUAGCAGGCGUAAAAGAAUGCCUGCUUGAAGUUCAGGGGUUCUUGAUAUUUUGGUAUUUUGAAACUUCUCAACAAUUGCACUCACAGACUGAGAGAUCCCUGUUGGCUGGACUAACGCUGGAACCCAGACUGAUACCUGCUUCUCAAAAGAGAACAAGAACUACACAUGCCAGGGGACCUCACGAUCAGAGAAGGAAGAUAUGUCAUGGAAGUCACGGGAUCUGGCUCUUUUGGCUCUCUCUCAUUGCCAGGCAAAGGGCUUGCUUUGUGAGGCCUUCUGGUGAUAAGACUCUAACUGACAACUGCAAAUUAUCUAGGGGGGCAAGUGGUGGGUGUCACGGUGCCAUAGUACAUCUGCUUAUGUUUGUGAAAAUAAGCAGAAGUGGGACAAGCAGUCUUUUUUGGGGGUGCAACUUGAAGGAGCUGACCACUGCAAAAGGUGAUAAUGCUUGUGCAUGGCAACGAAGGCACAACUCCCUGCAGGCUUAUCUGUUGGGCCAGGUUUGUCACACUAACAGAGAGAAAAGAAGAAAAAACCUCAGAGAAAUGGGGGAUAAAAAGGCCUUCACUAAACUAAGGACUUCGGAGAAGAACUCCCAAAGAAACCUUUGAUGGAGAAUUCCCUGAAGAGAAAACCACUUUGGAAGAACCCCCCCCACCCCCAGCCCCAGGGCCUGCCUGCUGCGGACCUUCCUGGCUUCCUCCCAUCCCCGGCCAUGACCAGAGUUCCUGAGAACAAUGGACCUGCUACAAACCUCACUGGACCCACGGUGGUGACUAUCUCUCUCUUGCUUUCUAUGAAUACUCCUUGCUUUUUAUUUCCUAUCUCUUUUCUAUCCCCAUCUUCCCUUCCCCGUAUCCCUAAGCAACUAGGAUUUGUAAUAAACUGGUCAG
ensembl:lncRNA